UGCCGAAUAGAAAAUACGGCGCAACAGCAAUCGGAAAUUCUUUUCAUUUUAAUGUAAAUAAAAACCAUUUGCGAGAGUCUUGAAUGGGCUAUGAAUAUUUAUCGUUUUAAUGACGCGACGAAUGAAUCGGAAUGCGCCGCAACGAUUUUAAUUUGUUGCUCUCCGGACUCGAAACAUUAGAAAAAGCUAAUGAUGAUUAUGAGUCGCAGUCGGAGUUAGAAAUGCAGUUGGUUGUCGUCCGAAGUCCGAAGUUGGUGAAAAGGGAGCCGCGAAUGUGGAAGCACCGUUAAAAUAGGUGAUAGGAGGAAAGUAGGUAAGUUAGGUCGGGAUGAAGAAGCGGUAACGAAUCCGCGUACGCGGUCCGACAGAGUGGUCAGUUAGUUAGUUAGUCAGUCAGUCAGUCAGGCGAAGGAGGCUGACUGGACGGAGAGUGCGGCGUACCAUGCACCAGCAGUUCGGUAAAGGCUCCGCGAUGGGAAGCUCCGUCGUCGUGCUGGCGUUCCUCCUGGUGGUGGCGGCGGGCGCGGGGGCGAGGCCGAGGCUCCGGUACGCGCACCACGACGCCCUCUUCGUCGCCAGAUGCGAGGCCCGGUGCUGGCUCGAGGACGACAAAAGCUCGUGCGUCAAGACGUGUCUGGCAGGUGGAGCGACCAAGGCGGGAUCGUGCCCGACGGAGGUGUCGUCUCUGUCGCCGUUCGCCGCCGUCUGCCUCGACGCGUGCACCCACGACUCCCAGUGUCCGGGGACGGCCAAAUGCUGCCGCCACGCUUGCGGCGUCACUUGCCAGAGGCCCGACGCUCUUGACACGGCUGUAGGUCUUCCAGACAUUCCGACGGACGUGCGUCUCUCCGAAGGCAAACGGAAGAAGACCAUGUACAUAUCGUGGAACCCGGGCAAGUUGACGUACUACGAAGACACAGGCGGAGGAACCGUCAUAUAUCUGAUAGAGGAGCGGCACCACGCCGGCCGAAAGUUCAACGAAAAACGCCUGACGGAGUGGACGCCGUGCUCCAGAACCGUCAAGUUCGGUCAGGUACUCAAACAUGUCGUGAAGCCUGGCCGAUGGUACCAGUUCAGGUUGGCGGCCGUCAACGGCAACGGCACCAAAGGCUACUCCAAGGCGUCGCGCCCCUUUAGCAUAUCCAUAAUGUUGUCACUUUCAGGUCCCAAGCCACCGAAAGCCCCCCAAAACAUGACAGUGGGCCCUUUAAUGUUGUACAAAAACGGAAGCUUAACAGCAGAGCUGAGAUGGUCAGCCCCAUCUUCGGACCUACCCCUCGACAGAUACAAGGUGUUUUGGAGCAAACGCUUACACGGGGCCAAAGCCCUGGAUUCCGUGCUAGUGCAUCAACAGGUUGUUCCCAAGGACCAGACUUAUUUUAUACUGGAAAACAUUCAACCCAAUUCCCUGUAUUUCUUACAAGUACAAGCUUUAUCCCAAUUCGAUAAAGAACGACUUCGUGGUGAUAAAUCGGGACUGGUCUUAAAUACGACCAAUUUUACUAACGUGUUUCAGUUACAGACAAUCUAUUGGUGCCGUAUUCUAGUACUGAAAAACGAAUUGACGGGCUGCACCUUCAAAAAUUAUACAUUUUUAAGGGUAAUCUACGUGGUCGCGUCGCCUGGAACGGUAAGGGUGUCUCGAUGAAAUACACGGUGACGUGGUGGAAAGGAACUUGCCACUCCGGAAGGUCUGGAUUUGGUCACCUUAAGUUUGCGGCCACCACUAAAGCAACACAUUUUGAGCUGUACGAUCUUCAAUUCAACUGUAGGUACAGAGUGGGUGUGAGAGAGGUGUCGUCAGAAGGUAUGAAGACGAUGCACGACACCUCGGUUACUUUUGCCACACCGUCCUGUAAAAACUUUAAGAGCCAUCAUAAAAAAAUUAAGUGUAGAGAAUUUUAAUUUAUGUAAAUAUUAAUUUAUAGAAAUAAAACUAUGUAUGGAA